UACGGGGGAUGCAAGCGUUAUCCGGAAUCAUUGGGCGUAAAGCGCCUGUAGGUUGUUUAAUAAGUCUGUUGUUAAAGACUAGGGCUUAACCCUAGGAAAGCAAUGGAAACUACUAGACUUGAGUAUGAUAGGGGUAGAGGGAAUUUCUAGUGUAGCGGUGAAAUGCGUAGAUAUUAGGAAGAACACCGGUGGCGAAGGCGCUCUACUGGAUCAUUACUGACACUCAGAGGCGAAAGCUAGGGUAGCAAAAGGGAUUAGAUACCCCUGUAGUCCUAGCCGUAAACGAUGGAUACUAGAUGUUGCGUUUAUUAUGCAGUAUCGUAGCUAACGCGUUAAGUAUCCCGCCUGGGGAGUACGCUCGCAAGGGUG
rnacentral:rRNA from 1 species